UUUCAUUUUAUUAUUUGUUUAGUUGUUCCCUGCUGACUUCAGGUGGGAUGAUUUCAGUCAAUCAGGAUCAGCUGGCAGGAAAGGUUACAAGAAGCCUUGCCAUUCCUAUUAGAUCAAUUCCAUCAGGACCGAACACCAGCAGGUGGCAGAUCUCGAAUAUGAAUCGAAGAGCCUUUUUUAUAUUUGUGCUCGAAAUUUGCUAUAAAGUGGUUUAGGUUAAGAGAAAAAGCAUUUUUGGAACCUUUCAGGAAACAGUAUUUAAUAGAACAAUUCUUUUGUUUCUGAACAUUCCAAUUCCUCUACAAAGAACCUUUUGUGUGACUGAAAGGUUUCACAGAUGUUAAAGGUUCUUCAAGGAACCAUAAAUGCCAAUAAAGAAACGUGGAUCAUGCACCUUCUUUAAUUGUGGCGAACCUACUGGGUCUUCUGGAUAUAAAAUGAGUAAGAGAGGAUGAAACUGAAAGUGUUUAGAAUUGUAUUCGUUUCCCUGGUGCGUAUCUGGUCAGACCUUGAAGUGAAAUGUCAGAGUGUAUAAGUCCAUUCUCACAGACACUUUCACGGUCUGUAGGCGCUUGUGAGGAAAAAACGCAUGCAGAGGUUGACAGUUCUGCUUACUGGAUUUGCCUGUGAGUCUGGGGAAUCAACUUAGACCUCCAGUUUAACAAGUUAAAUCAGUUCACCCAAAAAUAAAAAAAAGAUGCUGAAGAUUUGCUCACCCUCAAGCCAUCCAAGAUGUAGAUGAGUU
ensembl:lncRNA